AUUUUCAGGCAGACGUUCACUCCUGUCUGUCACCUGUCCUUUCCGUUUGAAGUUUGGAUAGUUACCAAUCGACGGAAGCAAGAAUUCAAUGGAAAACAAAGUGCAUUAUUCAAAUGAAUUUCACUCGAUCCUGGAAAGAAUAGUGCUGUUUAAAUACAUCAAGUUUCUUCUGUACCAAGAGAGCCUUAACCAGCACCAAGUGUUUGAAUCUGUUUCUCUCACUUAUGCCAAGGACAGUAAAGAAUCAGAGCUGGAGAGAAGAGAUGUUCAAUCCUUCCAUUCCUAUCCCAUCUUUGAUGCCUCAUCAGAGGCCCAGCCAAAGUGGAAAACUCAGCCUGACAGUAACUGUUUGUGAAGUGGAAUGGCCAGAAGAGGGAAAGGGAGGCUCCCCAUUUUACAAAAGAAGAAACUGGGGUCCAGAGAAGUGCCACAGGAAAUUGGUGGCAGAGCUGAUAUGGAAGCUGAGGCCACGCAAUUUGGAGCCCACGAUCUUUCCUCUAGUCCACACUGCCUCUUCUGGAGAUGAGGUACCUGAGGCGCAGAGAAGUGAAGUGACUCCCCC